AUGGGCGAAAGCCUGAUCCAGCCAUGCCGCGUGUGUGAAGAAGGUCUUCGGAUUGUAAAGCACUUUAAGUUGGGAGGAAGGGCAGUUACCUAAUACGUGAUUGUUUUGACGUUACCGACAGAAUAAGCACCGGGUAACUCUGUGCCAGCAGCCGCGGUAAU
rnacentral:rRNA from 1 species